CGGGACGGGUGAGUAAUGUCUGGGAAACUGCCUGAUGGAGGGGGAUAACUACUGGAAACGGUAGCUAAUACCGCAUAACGUCGCAAGACCAAAGAGGGGGACCUUCGGGCCUCUUGCCAUCAGAUGUGCCCAGAUGGGAUUAGCUAGUAGGUGGGGUAACGGCUCACCUAGGCGACGAUCCCUAGCUGGUCUGAGAGGAUGACCAGCCACACUGGAACUGAGACACGGUCCAG
rnacentral:rRNA from 1 species